ACCUGCGGAAGGAUCAUUGUCGUGACCCUGACCAAAACAAACAGUGAACAUGUUACCCAUGCGUCCGGCAGAUGGGUGUCGCACCUGUCUCUCGGAUCAGGGUGUCAACCGUCCUGAGAGGGGGAGGGGGUUGGCACCCUAAAUGAACCCACGGCGCCGUAUGGCGUCAAGGAACACUGAUGCUGCCUUGCACAUGGGCGGAUUGGCAUGCCGGUUCUACCCUUGUGCAAAAAAAAUCUAUUAAUCCACAUGACUCUUGGCAACGGAUAUCUCGGCUCUCGCAUCGAUGAAGAACGUAGCAAAAUGCGAUACCUGGUGUGAAUUGCAGAAUCCCGUGAACCAUCGAGUUUUUGAACGCAAGUUGCGCCCGAGGCCUUCUGGUUGAGGGCACGUCUGCCUGGGCGUCACGCCAGAAGACACUCCUCAUCGAUCUAGGUUAAGAUCGGGAAGUGGUAUUUGGCUCCCCGUGCAUCUGAUAUGUACGGUGGGCCUAAGUGGGGGCUGCUGGCGGUGCCGACCAGAGCAUAAGGUAGAUGACGUAAGUUAUUCUCGGUGCUAUGUUUCGGACAUGUAUUGGUGAUGCCCUGAGCACCCAAGUUGCGAAGCGCUCGACGCUUGGACCGCGACCCCAGGUCAGUCGGGGCUAUCGCUGAAUUUAAG
rnacentral:rRNA from 1 species